UGCGUAGGCGGAUCAAUAAGUCAGUGGUGAAAUCUCUCGGCUCAACCGGGAAACUGCCAUUGAUACUGUUGAUCUUGAGUUCGGUUGAGGUAGGCGGAAUGUGUAAUGUAGCGGUGAAAUGCUUAGAUAUUACACAGAACACCAAUUGCGUAGGCAGCUUACUGGACCGACACUGACGCUGAGGCACGAAAGCGUGGGGAGCGAACAGGAUUAGAUACCCUGGUAGUCC
rnacentral:rRNA from 1 species